rnacentral:rRNA from 1 species
AGUGAACGCUGGCGGUAGGCCUAACACAUGCAAGUCGAACGGCAGCACAGUAAGAGCUUGCUCUUACGGGUGGCGAGUGGCGGACGGGUGAGGAAUACAUCGGAAUCUACUUUUUCGUGGGGGAUAACGUAGGGAAACUUACGCUAAUACCGCAUACGACCUACGGGUGAAAGCAGGGGAUCUUCGGACCUUGCGCGAUUGAAUGAGCCGAUGUCGGAUUAGCUAGUUGGCAGGGUAAAGGCCCACCAAGGCGACGAUCCGUAGCUGGUCUGAGAGGAUGAUCAGCCACACUGGAACUGAGACACGGUCCAGACUCCUACGGGAGGCAGCAGUGGGGAAUAUUGGGCAAUGGGCGCAAGCCUGAUCCAGCCAUACCGCGUGGGUGAAGAAGGCCUUCGGGUUGUAAAGCCCUUUUGUUGGGAAAGAAAAGCAGCAGGUUAAUACCCCGCUGUUCUGACGGUACCCAAAGAGUAAGCACCGGCUAACUUCGUG